rnacentral:rRNA from 1 species
AUGUCGGUGAAGCUAAUAGAUGGGCGAUGGGAGGUGACGCACUUUGUUCGUGACCACAAUCAUCCGCUCGUGAACAAACCUUCAUUGUCCAAAUACUUGAGAUCCCACCAAGGCAUCUCACCUGAUGAAAAGGAGUUUCUGCGCAUCUUGUAUAACUGCAACUUGACUAUAGGACGUAUGAUGCAUGUAAUAGCAGAGUUCUAUGGAUCUGAGAUGAUGGUGCCAUUCGGACCAAAGGCAAUAACAAAUCUUUGUACAAGUUUCCGUAGAGAUGACACAAAGGAGGGUGAUCUGAUUGAGACAAUUGCGCACUUCAAGGAUAUACAAAAAACCGAUCCAGACUUCUUCUAUAAGGUGAAAUAUGAUGAAGAGGACAGAGUUGUCAACAUAUUUUGGGUGGAUGGCUUAGCUCGAAAAGCUUAUGCGGAGGCGUACCACGAUUGCAUAUCGUUUGACACCACCUACAUGACCAACAUGUACAAUAUGCCGUUCGCGCCCUUCAUAGGAACAAACCGACAUGGCCAAUCUUUCAUGCUGGGUUGCGCGUUUGUGAGGCAGGAGUUGGCAUCGAGCUUUGAUUGGGUCUUUGGAGCAUUCCUAGAAGCUAUGGAUGGCAAACCUCCUGACAACUUCAUCACCGAUCAGGAUGGUGCAAUGAGGCAGUCAAUACAGAGCAUCUUUCCAACCACCGUGCACCGCUGUUGUCGAUGGCACAUCAUGAAAAAGGCUCAGGAAAAAGUUGGUUGGCUGCUGUGCCGGAAUCCAGGACUCUCUGAUGAUUUCAACAAGUGUGUUGACUUCAGCUUCACUAUAGACGAGUUUGAGCAGAAUUGGGCUGGGUUAAUGAUGAAGUACGAGGCUAUGACACACACACACACACUUUGA